rnacentral:rRNA from 1 species
GUAGGUGGCAAGCGUUGUCCGGAAUUAUUGGGCGUAAAGCGCGCGCAGGCGGUCCUUUAAGUCUGAUGUGAAAGCCCAGGCUCAACCGUGGAGGGUCAUUGGGAAACUGGGGGACUUGAGUACAGAAGAGGAAAGCGGAAUUCCAAGUGUAGCGGUGAAAUGCGUAGAGAUUUGGAGGAACACCAGUGGCGAAGGCGGCUUUCUGGUCUGUAACUGACGCUGAGGCGCGAAAGCGUGGGGAGCAAACAGGGAUUAGAUACCCUGGUAGUCCACGCCGUAAACGAUGAGUGCUAAGUGUUAGGGGUUUCCCGCCCCCUUAGUGCUGCCAGCUAACGCAUUAAGCACUCCGCCUGGGGAGUACGCCGCAAGGCUG